GUUCAAAUGAUGACUCUAACUGUUCAACUGCUGAAUGAUAACAGACAUGAACUAAAACUUAAUUCUGACAGAG
ensembl:snoRNA SNORD5 small nucleolar RNA, C/D box 5